UCACUUUGGCAGCACAUAUACUAAAAUUGGAACAAUACAGGGAAGAUUAGCAUGGCUCCUUGCGCAAGGAUGACAUGUGGCAAUAGGGUAGUACAUACACUGGUA
ensembl:snRNA U6 U6 spliceosomal RNA